AUUAAAAACCAAUGCCCUUCGGGGCUCUCUGGUGAUUCAUAAUAACUUCUCGAAUCGCACGGCCUUGCGCCGGCGAUAGUUCAUUCAAAUUUCUGCCCUAUCAACUUUCGACGGCUGGGUCUUGGCCAGCCGUGGUGACAACGGGUAACGGAGGGUUAGGGCUCGACCCCGGAGAAGGAGCCUGAGAAACGGCUACUACAUCCAAGGAAGGCAGCAGGCGCGCAAAUUACCCAAUCCCGACACGGGGAGGUAGUGACAAUAAAUACUGAUACAGGGCUCUUUCGGGUCUUGUAAUUGGAAUGAGUACAAUUUAAAUCCCUUAACGAGGAACAAUUGGAGGGCAAGUCUGGUGCCAGCAGCCGCGGUAAUUCCAGCUCCAAUAGCGUAUAUUAAAGUUGUUGAGGUUAAAAAGCUCGUAGUUGAACCUUGGGCCUAGCCGGCCGGUCCGCCUCACCGCGUGCACUGGCUCGGCUGGGUCUUUCCUUCUGGAGAACCGCAUGCCCUUCACUGGGUGUGCC
rnacentral:rRNA from 1 species